CAGGGUGGGGGAGGGCGCGCGGGUUCACCGGCCCGCGGCCUCCGCGGCACCGUCUGGUCCUUCUCCUCUGAUCCGAGCCUCUGGCAGGGGACGCGGAAGGGUGGUGGAGCCGGCUCUGCCUUCCCAAAUGGUGAAUCCGAGGCAGGGGAAAUGAAUUGGCCUGCCCAGGGUCCCAAGCUUGAAGCUAGGUCUCCUUCCUCGGACGGGUGAGCGCUCUCUAGGAGGGUUUGGGACCUGGGACCGGGGCAGGGAGCUGUCGGGCUAGACGUGAGAAGAGACAGAAGCGGACGGCGCCUGCCAGGAAGAAGAAUCAGUCAGCGUGAGGAGUGGUGAGGGAAGGCCUGUCAAAGAAUACUCCACCAAAAUGAAGAGGAGGAGGAGAGGAAGAAGAUGAAGACGAUGGGAGGUGCAUAGACCAAAGAAGAUUGGCCAAAUGUUAAAUUUUGAAGCUAGGUGAUGGGGGAGUUAUCAUUUAUGGGCACGUUUUUAAAGAUUCAUAAGUUAUUUUUCAAAAAGCGACUGUUACAUAGGCAGUAUACAGAAGAGGCAAGUCAGCAAGCACGGAGAUGAGCCUAGCUGGGAUGAAAAUAAGGGUGACAGGGGCCGGGGAUUUAGUUCAGUGGUUCUGCAGCCUGCCUUGCAACCCCAAGGACCCGAGUUCGAUCCUUGGUACCAAAAAAAAAAAAAAAA